UCACACGGAUGGACGUCGGUGCCGGUGACGUCGGUACUCCUCUGCUCCCCAACGGACUCCGACGUCCUGGUCUGAUAGCAGAGAAGCCAAAUCAUGGCCAGUUCGUACCAACACCAAUAGUACUCCGGCAAUCUGGGAUGUAAGCCGCUUGUCCAAACUAUCAUGGUUAAUCCUAAUUUGCACGAUCCUCUUCAGAUUAGUAUACAGAUUAGUUACUAAAGAAAAUGGUUCGAGGUCAAUAGUUGAAAGCCUGAAGCCAGAUGUUCCUACGAUGACGUACACAACUCUUGAGAAACAAAACCAAUACAUUAUAUGUGCCUGCAAGAUUGAAGAUCGUACAUAUAUUUACUUUGCUCCAGGAUCCUAUAGCAGUGCAUUACUCCAUGCAGUUCCCUUUAUCAUCCAUUUUAUUAUUCAUAUCUCUAUAUGGUUGUUAUAUAUAGAUCCUAUUACAGGGAUGUAGCACUAUAUUUUCCAGCCAUUGUUGUAAACAAAACACCCUCUGUAUUGAUACAUAUGUUUUUUUUUCUUUUAGUUAUCUCUUUUCAGAGUGGACGAGGUUUCUAGAUCGAAGAAAUUAUUUUUAGAUCGCCCUUUGGGUUUCAAAGAAUUCAGAAUAAGUUCCUACACGAGCUGUUAUUGGAUAAAUCAUGUACGACACCAUGCUUGCACCCUUA